rnacentral:lncRNA from 1 species
GGAGAACAUAGUGUCUGAAUGCCCAGAGGAAAAGAAGGGGCCACAGAACUGUUGGCCAGUUAAGCAAAAAUGAAGAAACGAAUGAAUGGGGAGAACAGCAAUAAGCUGAUGCAGUUAGCAAUAAGUUUUCUGCAUGCAGAAUUAGAAACAGAGUUUGUAGACAGGAAAGGAAUACAUUUUGCCUGUUGUGUUUUUAUUGAGUAGGACCUUGUCCUGUUUUCGGCUGGGAUACAGCUAUCUGAAUGUGAGUGCUGGCCAUGGAGGGAUCAGCAGCUAAGGAAAGAUCGUGCCUCUUUCUGCAGCACGUGGGGCUACAAAGGACAACCUGGACAUAGGUCAGAGGGAUGUUGUCACCACAGAGUCAGAUAUUGUCACCACACGAGCACCCAGACCUGGGCUCAUCUGGAGGGCUGGCAGUUCAAGAAAAGAGUUUUCCAUAAGAGCACAUAAGCAAGUGUGGAGCAAGGAGAAAAAACAACAAAGAAAAAGAACCGUCGUCCCCAUUCUGCUCUCAUCAAAAGGCAGCCACAGGCUACUAGUCUGGAAUGCAUCAGAGUUUCAAGCUCAGUCACAAUGUUGGAAAUGCAGAACAGGGAGAGGUGAAGGGAAGAGUGGAGGCAAGUACAAAAACCCCAUGAGGUAGACGAGAGCAGGCAGAACCAGAAGUGCCAGCAAGGAGAACAUUGCCC